GGGCGCUGAGGAGGGGAGCUCCCGGAGACUCUCGCCUCCCGCUCGGGUGGCGCCGGCACGAAACGCCGGAGAGCUUCGGAGACCUGUGGCUGAGGUGGAACUGGCGUCGGCGGGGCCUCCCGCGUGGGCGAGCUUCUUAGGGCAGGUGCCUCCGGGGCUGACUCAACCGCUGCUCUGCUCUUUCGGAUGCUCUGGGCGGGAAUGAGCCCGCGUCUCGGAGACCCGCCGCACAGGACACCUUACAAUGGCUGACUCGGGCCCCGCCCCGUUCACCGGUGGUGUUGAAAACGUGCUCUCCGAACCACCAGGGCGCCUGAGGCUGUUGUUCACAGAGUAGGUCCCCGGGCCCUGCCCCAGUUUGCCUCCCGAAGUCCAAACCUGUUCCCUGGUUGGAGUUUGAUAAUAGCGUGCAGCCAGGCGCACCAGAACCGGAGAGAGGCUCUGUUCUCCAGGAAACCUAAUUCCCGAGCCUUCGGUAGUGUCUGGACCUGGGCUAGCGGAGCUGACUGAGCUCAGCGCCACGGCACUCCGGAAGGAUUGUGCGUGUUGGCAUCCGAGGCUUUCAGAGUAGAGACAGCACAACCAUGAUCACUUGUGAUGAAUCAUAGCCCGUGAUUGACGGCAUUAUUAAGUAUGAGCUAAUCUGCUAUAUGGAGCAAACAUGGUCUCUGUUUACCACCACUCCAAGCUGAAACUCCGCUCGCGUGUAAUUACAUACUCAAGUCAGCAGCUACGUGUUGUCAUAGGUUAGUGCUCAGAAUCUUUGAUCCAAGGGAAAAAAUCAUAAAUCUGAACAAUACGUUGGUUUCUCCACUUGACCACCAAUUUGUACACUAGUUGGGAAAAGAAUAAAGAUUAAAGAAGUCAUCUGUUUUUGUAAUGGAGCUUUUCCUUCAAAGACACUACUAAAUUGCUCUUGAAACAACCACCAGAAGAAGGGUCCAUGUGUAUGGACAGGGCUGGAGUGAUCCAUGCUUCAACAUCAGUCCAUUCAACCCUGCUUGAAUGCAGAGGUUGCAUAGAUCACCAGACUCCACGGAUAAGAUACUACAUUGUUCCCCAGCAUAUAAAAGCCAAGCUGAAUUGUUUAACGUUGUGUUUCAGUUGAUGAGUAGAACUUCACUGAACCGUGCACAAUGAUGGAGUUAUCCUAUGACCUAUGAAGAACAGUAUUUAUAUCAUGUUGUGGAUGUGGAAAUCAAAGAGAAGUUAGAUGCCUUGCCAAAAUCAUCUCAUCUAACAAGUACUUAGUAGAACCAGUUCUAGAAUAUGAUAAGUGGAAAGAGAGCUAUCUUUGUGUUUCUUUUCCUGAUACCUACCUAUUCCUGACAAAUGAACAGUGACCUCAAAAAGUAUCAUUGUAGAUGGGGCUAAAAGGAUAAAUAUUGCACAUAAUACUAUAGCAGUUAUAUUAGUUAACCCACUCAACAUUUAUUCUCCCUUUUUUCUUGGAAUCAUUGUGUAUGUAUUCACCUCUCAGGAAGGUCCCUCUGUCCCCACUUAAGGAAAAAGUCCUGAUUGGUUUAAACCAAUCCUGGUAAUUAUAUUUUUUCUUGCCAGUUUUGGUUUAGGAAAGAGCAUGUAACUAAAUUCUAGUCACUGAGAUAGGAGGGGCAGUCUACUUAGCAGUUUCUGAGAAAGUUUUUUUGGUUCUAAGAAAGACAAAUGAUAGGGUGAUAAACAGUCAACACAUUAUCGGAUGAGUGAAUCAUAGAUCCUAAUGACUCGAAGAAAUAUUGCAGUUGGCACAGUUAAAUAUUCUGGAAGGGAAGGAGUUGGUAUUCAGUGAAUGAAAUGCCUCAAAUGGAUAUUUCAAAGAUGGUGGAGUACUUGUUACUGAUUAAAUGAGACAGUUUCAAACAUAAGAUUAAGAAAAUUUAGCCAAGGCAAGUUCUAAAAUACAAAUCCUUUAGAAUUAAGAAGGUACAAACAAACAAACAAACAAAAAAUGGAGAGGCCAAGAAGUCCUGGCUCAAAACUUUUGCUCCUGUUUCUAAACUUCUGUUCUUGCAGGAUUUAAGCCCCACUAGAUUCUCACCUUCUACUAUUCCAUGCACCUCUACCUCUAUCCACCUCUUAAAAAUUCCCAGCUCACUCGGCAUCUAUUCCAUGAAAUUUAUUUCUAAAAUUUUAUUUUAUACCAACAUUUUGUUUUUAAUAGAUGCAAUUCAUGGUUUGGAAAGAUGAGAGAGAUUCAAAGCACAGAGAUACCAAUAAUUUUAAAUAUAAUCUUAAAAAAAAUUCUUAAAAUGCAAAAGAAUGAUACACUUGAGGAAGAGGCAACUUUUCUGGACAUUAGCAUGUCCAAAUGCAAUGACUAGACUUGCUGCAGCCAUCUUAGAACCAGUGAGGAGCCAGCUUGAAAACAAAGCCAACACAGCGAGAUGACAUGGCCGAUUGUGGAAAGAACCUGAGUCCUUCAUGAUGCCAUUGAGCUGAUGAAUGAAACCUGGAGUAUACCGCCUCUGGGCUUCCUGUCAUCUAAGGUAAUAACCGUCUUUACUGUUUGAACUAGUGUUUCAUUAUUUUCCGUAGAAAGUCCUAAUUGGUGUAUGUAAUUAUUAACCCCACUUAACCCCUUCAGUUAAACCUGUCAUGUCUUUCUUGAUUUUGCUGAAGUUACCUGAUCCCAUCUCCUUAGACCUGACCUUGGGUGUCUCACUCAGAAUGAUCAUGGUUUAUGAAGCAUGGGAAGUCCAAGGAAGAGGAGGAGCUUCCCAGGAUCCAAGUUUGAUUCAUCAUGGCUCCCUUCCUCCACCAUCACCGUGUGUGUGUUUGUGUGUUCCUCGCCAUGUCUCCUCACAAGACUUUCAGGAUCAAGCAAUUCCUGGCUAAGAAACAAACACAGAAUCAUCCCAUUUCCCAGUGGAUUCAGAUGAAAACAGGUAAGGUACAACUCCCAAGAGGAGGGAUUGGAGGAGACCCAAGCUGGGUCUGCAAGGGAUCGAUCACACAUGAGAUGACACACGUAUUUAUGCUGCGUGAAGAUCCCCUGCUCACAUCAUAUACUCUGUAAACUACAUCACUACUACCUGAACAAUAGUGCUUUAUCAGCAAAGUGAUUUUUCUCUGUUACACAAUGC